AUUUCAUUUUUUGCUCUGGCCAUUUCUCCUAAACUUUAUUGUUCACAAGGCGACACAUCCGACUCACGGAGUUCUAGUUUUAUAACUUUUUUAUAUAUUUAUGUUUCUACUUCAAACUUAAUACAUAUGUUUCUUAUUAUCACUCAAAUAAAUCAUUUGUGAGAAGGUUCAAUACUAUAGCUUGACUAUUUCCAGAAUUAGGUCCCAUGCACUUGAGAUUUUUUGCUAGAAAUAAAUUAUUUUUUACUUAAACUUUUUCAUUUCUUAUAGCAUUUACUUCAAACUCCCACAUCAUAUGACAAGGGUUACAAAUCUAGCAUACAUGUUGCCAGAAUUAUCUCCUUAAACAUUGAAUUUUUCUUAUUCAUUCCUUAACUUACUUAUUUCUCCACAGAUUUCCUUACAAGGGAGGCUUGGAAACUUAACACAUUACUAAGAUAUAGACAAACUAAGAACUUGAAAGCUUAAAGUUCAUUCAUAUCAUUCAUUCAUUCAGUGGCAUAAUUGAAUGGCCAAUGACCCAUCAUAAUGUUGCUGGGGUUCUAACCGGUAGGGGACUUUAAUAAUGGAUUGCUUGCAUAUACCAUGAUAAUUGCUUGUUUUCACUUUAUUAUUUUUCUAUUAUUUUUAACAACAUAAUAAAACUAGUUAGUGGGAUCUGGUUUUAGUGUAAUGGCUUUUAGACUAGAAAUGGUAAUACUUUUGCUUAAAAUUUCAGGGUCUAUUAUCUUAGCCAGUAAACUACAUGUGAGCAAGGGGAAUGUGAUUAGAGAAGACUGGUGAUAAUAAACAGAGGCCACUCAAAAAAAGAAAAUAUACUGUUGUGAAAAAGACUCAAAAUGGCAGAAAAUAAUUGGAUUUUACAUGGGCAUAUUCUGUUGUAACUUCGUUUGGUAGCUAAAAAUUGUUUAUUAAAAAUACCUGUAUGGCUGUGAAGAGAGAUGUUGAGAGUGAUUGUUAUACACACAGGCUUUCAAACCAGUACAAGCAAAUUACUGUUGAAUGAACAAACAAAAUUGUGCUAUAACAUAUGGAAGAGGCUUGUUCUAGAUUAUUUUUAUAAACCCUACACAACUAUGAUGAUAAGUGCGAUAUACUAGAAUCAGAUUGUCUGUCUGUCUGCCUCACAGUCUACCUAUUGGAGCUAUUGAAGUGAAACUUAAUAGACAGAUGUAUCUCAUUGCAUUGAAAUUUAGUUCCAAGGCAUUUAAUCAAAUUUGUUUUUCAUAUGAUAGAUCAGUCAAAAUGUUUCUUAUUUAGUGAUUUAUUUGUGGCUCAAAUUUAGCAAUUGAAACUAAAUUUGCCUCAUAAUGGUCUUGAACUAAAAAUAUAUGUCAAAUUAGUGUAUUUUCAUCAUUUUUAGCUUGUCAUUUUUUUUCAAAGAAAAAAAUAGAGGUAUUGUUACAGUCAAUGGCAGCUUUUCCAUUGCCGUCCGCAAUCUUUAACUUUGAUCAAAAUUUCUAAAUUAUCGCAUUUUAUUCUAUCAAAUUGUUAUAUCUGUUUUGUUAAGGGGGAACGGUUCCACUUUAGAAAAUGGAUAAGAGAUAAGUUUUGAAAUUUAUUUUUUAUUUUGAUGAGGGAACGGUUCCCUCUUACUGGUAACCUGGCUCUAAAAUUCUACAUUAUUGCAUUUUAUUCUAUCAAAUUUUUAAAUCUGUUUUGUUAAGGGGGAACGGUUCCACUUUAGAAAAUGGAUAAGAGAUAAGUUUUGAAAUUUAUUUUUUUAUUUUGAUGAGGGAACGGUUCCCUCUUACCAUUUACAUGGCUCUAAAUUUCUAAAUUAUUGCAUUUUAUUCUAUCAAAUUGUUAUAUCUGUUUUAUUAAGGGGGAACGGUUCCACUCUAGAAAAUGUGUUAUAGAUAAGAUUUGAAAUUUGUUUUUUAUAUCGAUGAGGGAACGGUUCCCUCUUACGGGUAAACUUGCUCUAAAUUUCUAGAUUAUUGUAUUUUAUUCUAUCAAAUUGUUAUAUCUGUUUUGUUAAGGGGGAACGGUUCCACUUUAGAAAAUGUGUCAUACUUAAGUUUUUAGAAAAAAAAAUUAUUUCGAUGAGGGAACGGUUCCCUCUUACUGGUAACAUGGCUCUGAAUUUCUAAAUUAUUGCAUUUUAUUCUAUCAAAUUGUUAUAUCUGUUUUGUUAAGGGGGAACGGUUCCACUUUAGAAAAUGUGUCAUACUUAAGUUUUUUGAAAAAAAAAAAAAUAUUUCGAUGAGGGAACGGUUCCCUCUUACUGGUAACAUGGCUCUGAAUUUCUAAAUUACUGCAUUUUAUUCUAUCAAAUUGUUAUACAUGUAUCUGUUUUUUUAAGGGGGAACGGUUCCACUCUAGAAAAUGUGUUAUAGAUAAGAUUUGAAAUUUAUUUUCUAUUUGGAUGAGGGAACGGUUCCCUCCUACCGGUAACCUGGCUCUAAAUUUCUAAAUAGCUGCAUUUCAUUCUAUCAAAUUGUUAUAUCUGUUUUGUUAAGGGGGAACGGUUCCACUCUAGAAAAUGUGUUCUAGAUAAGUUUUGAAAUUUGUUUUUUAUUUCGAUGAGGGAACGGUUCCCUCUUACGGGUAACCUUGCUCUAAAUUUCUAAAAUAUUGCAUUUUAUUCUAUCAAAUUUUUUAAUCUGUUUUGUUAAGGGGGAAUGGUUCCACUUUAGAAAAUGGGUAAGAGAUAAGUUUUGAUAUUUAUUUUUUAUUUUGAUGACGGAACGGUUCCCUCUUACGGGUAACCUUGCUCCAAAUUUCUAAAUUAUUGCAUUUUAUUCUAUCAAAUUGUAUUUCUGUUUUGUUAAGGGGGAACGGUUCCACUUUAGAAAAUGUGUCAUACUUAAGUUUUUAAAAAAAAAAAUUUAUUUCGAUGAGGGAACGGUUCCCUCUUACUGGUAACAUGGCUCUGAAUUUCUAAAUUAUUGCAUUUUAUUCUAUCAAAUUGUUAUAUCUGUCUUGUUAAGGGGGAACGGUUCCACUCUAGAAAAUGUGUUAUAGAUAAGAUUUGAAAUUUAUUUUCUAUUUCGAUGAGGGAACGGUUCCCUCCUACCGGUAACAUGGCUCUAAAAUUCUAAAUUAUUGCAUUUUAUUCUAUCAAAUUUUUGAACCUGUUUUGUUAAGGGGGAACGGUUCCACUUUAGAAAAUGGGUAAGAGAUAAGUUUUGAAAUUUAUUUUUUAUUUUGAUGAGGGAACGGUUCCCUCUUACGGGUAACCUUGGUCUAAAUUUCUAAAUUAUUGCAUUUUAUUCUAUCAAAUUGUUAUUUCUGUUUUGUUAAGGGGGAACGGUUCCACUUUAGAAAAUGGGUAAGAGAUAAGUUUUGAAAUUUAUUUUUUAUUUCGAUGAGGGAACGGUUCCCUCUUCCUUGUAACAUGGCUCUGAAUUUCUAAAUUAUUGCAUUUUAUUCUAUCCAAUUGUUAUAUCUGUUAAUUUGUUAUGGGGGAACGGUUCCACUUUAGAAAAUGUGUUUUGAAGUUUAAUUUUUUGAUGGGGGAAUGGUUCCCUUUUAUCGGUUACAUGGCUCUUAUUUCUUAAUUAUUGCAUUUUAUUUGAUCAAAUUGUUAUAUCUAUUUUUUUAAGGGGGAAUGGUUCCACUUUAGAGUAUGUGUUAAAGAUAAGUUUUGAAAUUUGCUUUUUAUUUUGAUGAGGGAAUGGUUCCCCCGUAAGCAUAAUGUAUCUCUUAUUACUGAACAAUUGCUUUUUAUUUAUCGAAUCAUGUUAUAUUCUGUACAUGGCUUUUGUUCUUCGGGGGAAUGGUUCCCCCGAAAACAUUUGCAAAAGAAACAAAAAAUAAAAUUUGGAUGUUUA